UGUAUUUUUGGAUUUUUUGGAGACAGGGUCUCCUUAUGUAGUCCAGACUGGCCUUGAGAGCACUCUGUAGCCUAGACUGUCCUCAAACCUGAGACAAUUCUACCGCGUC
rnacentral:miRNA from 1 species